AGGGAUAUAGUUAAUUAUAACAUUUGGUUUGCAUCCAAAAAGUAUUGAAACUGCUCAAUUAUCCUUA
rnacentral:tRNA from 1 species